UACAGAGGGGGCAAGCGUUGUUCGGAAUUACUGGGCGUAAAGGGCGCGUAGGCGGCCUUCUAAGUCGAACGUGAAAUCCCCAGGCUCAACCUGGGAACUGCGUCUGAUACUGGAUGGCUUGAAUCCGGGAGAGGGAUGCAGAAUUCCAGGUGUAGCGGUGAAAUGCGUAGAUAUCUGGAGGAAUACCGGUGGCGAAGGCGGCAUCCUGGACCGGCAUUGACGCUGAGGAGCGAAAGCCAGGGAGCAAAGCGGG
rnacentral:rRNA from 1 species